rnacentral:rRNA from 1 species
GACGAACGCUGGCGGCGUGCUUAACACAUGCAAGUCGAACGGAAAGGCCCUGCUUUUGUGGGGUGCUCGAGUGGCGAACGGGUGAGUAACACGUGAGUAACCUGCCCUUGACUUUGGUAUAACUUCAGGAAACUGGGGCUAAUACCGGAUAGGAGCUCCUGCUGCAUUGUGGGGGUUGGAAAGUCUCGGCGGUUGGGGAUGGACUCGCGGCUUAUCAGCUUGUUGGUGGGGUAGUGGCUUACCAAGGGUUUGACGGGUAGCCGGCCUGGGAGGGUGACCGGCCACAUUGGGACUGAGAUACGGCCCAGACUCCUACGGGAGGCAGCAGUGGGGAAUAUUGCACAAUGGGCGGAAGCCUGAUGCAGCAACGCCGCGUGCGGGAUGACGGCCUUCGGGUUGUAAACCGCUUUCGCCUGUGACGAAGCGUGAGUGACGGUAAUGGGUAAAGAAGCACCGGCUAACUACGUG